AUUGAACGCUGGCGGCAUGCCUUACACAUGCAAGUCGAGCGGUAACAGGUCUUCGGAUGCUGACGAGUGGCGAACGGGGGAGUAAUACAUCGGAACGUGCCCGAUCGGGGGGGAUAAGGGAGAGAAAGCUUUGCUAAUACCGAAUACGAUCUACGGAUGAAAGCAGGGGACCGCAAGGCCUUGCGCGGACGGAGCGGCCGAUGGCAGAUUAGGUAGUUGGUGGGAUAAAAGCUUACCAAGCCGACGAUCUGUAGCUGGUCUGAGAGGACGACCAGCCACACUGGGACUGAGACCCGGCCCAGACUCCUACGGGAGGCAGCAGUGGGGAAUUUUGGACAAUGGGCGAAAGCCUGAUCCAGCCAUGCCGCGUGCAGAAUGAAGGCCUUCGGGUUGUAAACUGCUUUUGUACGGAACGAAAAGACUCUUUCUAAUAAAGAGGGUCCAUGACUGUACCGUAAGAAUAAGCACCGGCUAACUACGU
rnacentral:rRNA from 1 species